AUUGAACGCUGGCGGCAUGCCUUACACAUGCAAGUCGAACGGCAGCACGGGAGCAAUCCUGGUGGCGAGUGGCGAACGGGCGAGUAAAGUAUCGGAACGUGCCCAGUCGUGGGGGAUAACGUAGCGAAAGUUACGCUAAUACCGCAUACGAUCUAUGGAUGAAAGCGGGGGAUCGCAAGACCUUGCGCGAUUGGAGCGGCCGAUAUCAGAUUAGGUAGUUGGUGGGGUAAAGGCUCACCAAGCCGACGAUCUGUAGCUGGUCUGAGAGGACGACCAGCCACACUGGGACUGAGACACGGCCCAGACUCCUACGGGAGGCAGCAGUGGGGAAUUUUGGACAAUGGGCGAAAGCCUGAUCCAGCCAUGCCGCGUGCAGGAUGAAGGCCUUCGGGUUGUAAACUGCUUUUGUACGGAACGAAAAGGUUUGGGCUAAUAAGCUGAGCUCAUGACGGUACCGUAAGAAUAAGCACCGGCUAACUACGUGCCAGCCGCCGCUGUAA
rnacentral:rRNA from 1 species